rfam:Aurantimonas manganoxydans SI85-9A1 scf_1099451004081 genomic scaffold, whole genome shotgun sequence.
UACCCCAUGGAAUGCUCAGGUCCGCCGCAUCUCCUGGGUCCCGUGGGGCGGUCGGUCGGUCAAGUGCAAUGGCGGUUUCCUCGUACCGUCGCACGAAGACCGGCCGGCCACUUU